rnacentral:rRNA from 1 species
UACGGAGGGUGCAAGCGUUAAUCGGAAUUACUGGGCGUAAAGCGCGCGUAGGCGGUUUUUUAAGUCGGAUGUGAAAGCCCCGGGCUCAACCUGGGAACUGCAUCCGAUACUGGAAGACUAGAAUGCGGGAGAGGGAGGUAGAAUUCCAUGUGUAGCAGUGAAAUGCGUAGAUAUAUGGAGGAAUACCAGUGGCGAAGGCGGCCUCCUGGCUCGACAUUGACGCUGAGGUGCGAAAGCGUGGGGAGUAAACGGG